rnacentral:tRNA from 1 species
CGGGAAGUGGCUCAGCUUGGUAGAGCACUUGGUUUGGGACCAAGGGGUCGCAGGUUCGAAUCCUGUCUUCCCGA